rnacentral:rRNA from 1 species
UCGGGAAUUUUGGGCAAUGGGGGAAACCCUGACCCAGCAACGCCGCGUGAAGGAUGAAGUAUUUCGGUAUGUAGACUUCGAAAGAAUAGGAAGAAUAAAUGACGGUACUAUUUAUAAGGUCCGGCUAACUACGUGCCAGCAGCCGCGGUAAUACGUAGGGUGCAAGCGUUAAUCGGAAUUACUGGGCGUAAAGCGUGCGCAGGCGGUUUGCUAAGUCUGGUGUGAAAUCUCCUGGCUUAACUGGGAGGGUGCGCUAGAUACUGGCAGGCUUGAGUAUGGGAGAGGAGAGUGGAAUUCCUGGUGUAGCGGUGAAAUGCGUAGAUAUCAGGAGGAACGCCGGUGGUGUAGACGGCUCUCUGGACCAUUACUGACGCUGAGGUACGAAAGCGUGGGUAGCAAACAGGAUUAGAUACCCGUGUAGUCCCUGAGCGGGCUGGCAAGGCGCAU